rnacentral:lncRNA from 1 species
UGUUAUAUAUUUCUCAAUUAACAGAUAUAAAGAAGAUGACAAUUAGCAUGUGGGGAGUCCACAAGACAUUUUGAUGUGAAAUGUGGGUCCUUCUUCUUGACAAGGUGGGAAUAUGCUGCUCUAGCAAGACUGCAGUGAUGAAUCCCAGGGAUGCACACCUACCUACCGAGAGACCUCCAAACAGAGACAUCAACAUAGAAACCUCCGCAGAGAUAACCAGAUCUCCAUAUUGCAAACCCAUGCAAAAAGUAACCUAGAGAAACAGACGCCCAGAUGAAGAGGGGUGUGAGUACAAGCUUUGCAGAUGGAGCUACCGCCUGGAAGGACUCAGUGUGCUUCAGUGGCUGAUGCCCACUCCUCAAAAAACAAAACCAAAC